rnacentral:rRNA from 1 species
CCUACGGGAGGCUGCAGUGGGGAAUAUUGGACAAUGGGGGGAACCCUGAUCCAGCCAUGCCGCGUGUGUGAAGAAGGCCCUCGGGUUGUAAAGCACUUUCAGUGAGGAAGAACGCCUGGUGGUUAAUACCCAUCAGGAAAGACAUCACUCACAGAAGAAGCACCGGCUAACUCCGGGCCAGCAGCCGCGGUAAUACGGAGGGUGCGAGCGUUAAUCGGAAUUACUGGGCGUAAAGCGCGCGUAGGUGGCUUGAUAAGCCGGUUGUGAAAGCCCCGGGCUCAACCUGGGAACGGCAUCCGGAACUGUCAAGCUAGAGUGCAGGAGAGGAAGGUAGAAUUCCCGGUGUAGCGGUGAAAUGCGUAGAGAUCGGGAGGAAUACCAGUGGCGAAGGCGGCCUUCUGGACUGACACUGACACUGAGGUGCGAAAGCGUGGGUAGCAAACAGGAUUAGAUACCCCAGUAGUC